rnacentral:rRNA from 1 species
AGUGAACGCUGGCGGUAGGCCUAACACAUGCAAGUCGAACGGCAGCACAGUAAGAGCUUGCUCUUACGGGUGGCGAGUGGCGGACGGGUGAGGAAUACAUCGGAAUCUACUUUUUCGUGGGGGAUAACGUAGGGAAACUUACGCUAAUACCGCAUACGACCUACGGGUGAAAGCAGGGGAUCUUCGGACCUUGCGCGAUUGAAUGAGCCGAUGUCGGAUUAGCUAGUUGGCGGGGUAAAGGCCCACCAAGGCGACGAUCCGUAGCUGGUCUGAGAGGAUGAUCAGCCACACUGGAACUGAGACACGGUCCAGACUCCUACGGGAAGCAGCAGUGGGGAAUAUUGGACAAUGGGCGCAAGCCUGAUCCAGCCAUACCGCGUGGGUGAAGAAGGCCUUCGGGUUGUAAAGCCAUUUUGUUGGGAAAGAAAAGCAGCAGGUUAAUACCCCGCUGUUCUGACGGUACCCAAAGAAUAAGCACCGGCUAACUUCGUG